rnacentral:siRNA from 1 species
UUUAAAAAAUGGUCUCAAGUG